rnacentral:rRNA from 1 species
UACGUAGGGGGCAAGCGUUGUCCGGAAUCAUUGGGCGUAAAGAGCGUGUAGGCGGCCCGAUAAGUCCGCUGUGAAAGUCCCAGGGCUCAACCCUGGGAUGCCGGUGGAUACUGUCGGGCUCGAGUCCGGAAGAGGAGUGUGGAAUUCCUGGUGUAGCGGUGAAAUGCGCAGAUAUCAGGAGGAACACCAAUGGCGAAGGCAGCACUCUGGGACGUGACUGACGCUGAAGACGCGAAAGCGUGGGGAGCAAACAGG